rnacentral:rRNA from 1 species
UACAGAGGUGGCAAGCGUUGUUCGGAAUUACUGGGCGUAAAGCGUGCGCAGGCGGUUUUGUAAGCCAGAUGUGAAAUCCCCGGGCUUAACCUGGGAACUGCAUUUGGGACUGCAAGGCUCGAGUACGGCAGAGGGAGGUGGAAUUCCACGUGUAGCAGUGAAAUGCGUAGAGAUGUGGAGGAACACCGAUGGCGAAGGCAGCCUCCUGGGCCAGUACUGACGCUCAUGCACGAAAGCGUGGGGAGCAAACAGG